rnacentral:rRNA from 1 species
GAUGAACGCUGGCGGCGUGCCUAAUACAUGCAAGUCGAGCGAACAGACGAGGAGCUUGCUCCUCUGACGUUAGCGGCGGACGGGUGAGUAACACGUGGAUAACCUACCUAUAAGACUGGGAUAACUUCGGGAAACCGGAGCUAAUACCGGAUAAUAUAUUGAACCGCAUGGUUCAAUAGUGAAAGACGGUUUUGCUGUCACUUAUAGAUGGAUCCGCGCCGCAUUAGCUAGUUGGUAAGGUAACGGCUUACCAAGGCUACGAUGCGUAGCCGACCUGAGAGGGUGAUCAGCCACACUGGAACUGAGACACGGUCCAGACUCCUACGGGAGGCAGCAGUAGGGAAUCUUCCGCAAUGGGCGAAAGCCUGACGGAGCAACGCCGCGUGAGUGAUGAAGGUCUUCGGAUCGUAAAACUCUGUUAUUAGGGAAGAACAAAUGUGUAAGUAACUAUGCACGUCUUGACGGUACCUAAUCAGAAAGCCACGGCUAACUACGUG